rnacentral:rRNA from 2 species
GAUGAACGCUGGCGGCGCGCCUAACACAUGCAAGUCGAACGGUUAAGCACCUUUUAGGUGUGUAUAAAGUGGCGAACGGCUGAGUAACACGUGGGCAACCUGCCCUCCUCUUGGGGAUAGCCUCGGGAAACCGAGGAUAAUACCCGAUACUUCAAUGUGGCCGCAUGACGACAUUGAGAAAGCUUUUGCGGAGAAGGAUGGGCCCGCGGCCUGUUAGCUUGUUGGUGGGGUAGAGGCCUACCAAGGCAAUGAUGGGUAGCUGGGUUGAGAGACCGAGCAGCCAGAUUGGGACUGAGACACGGCCCAGACUCCUACGGGAGGCAGCAGUGGGGAAUCUUGCACAAUGGGCGAAAGCCUGAUGCAGCGACGCCGCGUGCGGGACGAAGGCCUUUCGGGUUGUAAACCGCUUUCAGCAGGGACGAGGCGAAAGUGACGGUACCUGCAGAAGAAGCCCCGCUA